rnacentral:rRNA from 1 species
AUUGAACGCUGGCGGAAUGCUUUACACAUGCAAGUCGAACGGCAGCACGGACUUCGGUCUGGUGGCGAGUGGCGAACGGGUGAGUAAUGUAUCGGAACGUGCCCAGUCGUGGGGGAUAACGUAGUGAAAAUUACGCUAAUACCGCAUACGAUCUAUGGAUGAAAGCGGGGGAUCGCAAGACCUCGCGUGAUUGGAGCGGCCGAUAUCAGAUUAGGUAGUUGGUGGGGUAAAGGCCCACCAAGCCAACGAUCUGUAGCUGGUCUGAGCGGACGACCAGCCACACUGGAACUGAGACAAGGUCCAGACUCCUACGGGAGGCAGCAGUGGGGAAUUUUGGACAAUGGGCGAAAGCCUGAUCCAGCCAUUCCGCGUGCAGGAUGAAGGCCCUCGGGUUGUAAACUGCUUUUGUACAGAACGAAAAGGUUUCUACUAAUACUAGGAGCUCAUGACGGUACUGUAAGAAUAAGCACCGGCUAACUACGUGCCAGCAGCCGCGUAA